CUGGAGUGCAGUGGCAGGAUCUCGGCUCACUGCAACCUCUGCCUCCCUAGUAGCUAGGAUUACAGGCAUGCUCCACCACGCCCAACUAAUUUUUGUAUUUUUAGGAGAGAUGGAGUUUCGCCACGUUGGCCAGGCUGGUCUUGAACUCCUGGCCUCAAGUAAUCUGCCUGUCUUGGCCUCCCAAAGUGCUGGGAUUACAGGUGUGAGCCUUUUUUUUUUUUUUUUUUUUUUGAGAUGAAGUCUCACUCUGUCGCAUAGGCUGGAGUGCAGUGGUGGGAUCUUGGCUCACUGCAACCUCCGCCUCCCAGGUUCAAGUGAUUCUCUGCCUCAGCCUCCUGAGUAGCUGGGAUUACAGGUGUCAGCCCCCAUGCCUGGCUAGUUUUUGUAUUUUUAGUAGAAAGGCGGUUUCACCAUGUUGGCCAGCUGGUCUCAAAUUCCUGACCUCAGGUGAUCCACCUACCUUGGCCUCCCAAAGUGCUGGGAUUAUAGGCAUGAGCCACUGCACCCGGCCGGUGGAAAGCAUUUUUAACAAAAAAUUUUUAGGCCAGGCACAGUGGUGGCUCAUGCCUGUAAUCCCAGCACUUUGGGAGACUGAGAUGGGAGGAUCGCUUGAGACCAGCCUGGGAAACAUAGUGAGACCCUUUCUCUACAAAAAGUUAAAAAAUUAUCUGAGCAUGGUGGUGUGCACCUGUAGUCCCAGUUAGGAGGCUGAGGUUGGUGGAUUGCUUGAGUCCAGGAG
rnacentral:lncRNA from 1 species